AAAAAUGAAGCAAGCUAAAUCGAUCGAAUCUUGAAUCAAGAAUUAUAUAUUUUCAAUCAAGUUGUGGUGCAUCUACGAUAAAUGUAGAGAAAUGUUGCGCGAGAUCCAUCAAAAUUUCAAAUAAAUAAAUAUAUAUAUAUAUAUCUGUGUACGAGCAAAGAAAUCGCGAGCGAUUCUCGAUGAUCUGGAAUCACAGAUAUCAUGAUUCUCGAGAUUGCGAUCUCUCCGAUACCAACUUUUGCCGAAACCAUCGAGAACUCGCUCGAUCAUCUUACGAUUAUCGUCUAUCGAUUGAGCGAGUGGCGCGCAACGAGAGACGAUCGGACGAAAAACAAGUGUGAGCGAUCGUGAGUAAGAAUGGAUGACGAAAAGAGGAGACAGAAGGACGGCGACAAUAUGAAUCGAGUGUCUGAUAUGAGAUAGAAAGAGAGAGAGAGAGAGAGAAGAAAAAGAAAAAAGGAAACAAAAGUGGAUAAAUUUCUGAUCUCUACGUGUACUACGUGAUGGUCGGCGAGGCGAGAUCGAGAGAAUCGGCGUGUAUACGAUAGCAAGGAUAUAAUUUAGAAAUUUAGCCUCGAUUACCAACCUCGAGAACCAAUCGCGAAAUAGCAUAACUUCCGUCUCAGGGAUGAUGGUUCGAGCUGGAUCUCGAACGAGAUCUCGAGCAAUAUUUCGAGAGGAUCGUUCUUAACCCGUUUCUUAAAAUUCUAAAAAAUUCGUCUUGCAUCUCGUCUCGUAUCUAUGUACUCCCUAAGUCCGCCGAACGAAGGUAUUUAGGGUACUGACUGGAUGGUUACUAGUGUGACUCCUAGCUGUAUUGCCUGUAUUGCUGAUCUCAUCUACAGUCAUGACAAUCAUCCUAAGUAGUAGUAGUAGUAGUAGUAAUAGUAGUAGUAUAGUUGUAGUGGUAGAUUAAUAGGUCCUAGCAGGUAACAUUACAGAGCUGUAGUCUCGCACAGUAGUAGUAGUAGGUAAGUAGUGGUAGUAGUAGUAGUGGUGAUGGUAGCAGUAGGUAAGUUGUUGUAGUAAUAGUAGCGGUAAUAGCGAUAGUUCGGACAAGUCCUAGUGGCAAUUUGCUCGCUCGAUCGAUCAACGACGAAUCACGAGUAUCGAUCGAAUCGUUUGACCGAUCGAUGGAUCGCUUGGCAAUUUAUUAGGUUGUUUUAGACACACAGAGAAACACAUACACGUAUAUACCGUCGGCGAGUUGUUACUUUCGUGGUCUCGGGAGCAACCGUUGUCUCGGGUACGUAAUAGUAGUAGUAGUAGUAGUACUAGUAGUAGUAGAGUGAUGGUAGUAGCGGUAAUAGUAGUAGUAGUAGUAGUAGUAGUAGUAGUAGUAGUAGUAGUAGCAGUAUUAGUAGUAGCAGUGAUAGUACUUGGUUUCAUUUUCAGUGUGGCUAGCGGAGGUUAGGCUUACUGUUCCGCCUCUCUAUGAUAAACACGCUCUCGUAAUCUCGAUUAUCGAGGUGGAGUGCGUGAUGGUCACGAUCACGGUUCGGGGGGGCCUGCUCGUGGACCGGCUCCGAGGUGGCAGUGGCGGGGGUGGUUACUUGCGUAGGAAGUGGUGGUUGA
rnacentral:lncRNA from 1 species